GACAGAGGGUGCAAACGUUGCUCGGAAUUACUGGGCGUAAAGCGCGUGUAGGUGGCAAGGCAAGUCGGGUGUGAAAGCCCUGGGCUCAACCCAGGAAGUGCACUCGAUACUGCCUCGCUAGAGUCCCGGAGAGGUUGGUGGAACUCUCGGUGUAGAGGUGAAAUUCGUAGAUAUCGAGAAGAACACCGGUGGCGAAGGCGGCCAACUGGACGGUGACUGACACUGAGACGCGAAAGCGUGGGGAGCAAACAGG
rnacentral:rRNA from 1 species